rnacentral:rRNA from 1 species
UACGAAGGGGGCUAGCGUUGCUCGGAAUCACUGGGCGUAAAGGGCGCGUAGGCGGCGUUUUAAGUCGGGGGUGAAAGCCUGUGGCUCAACCACAGAAUGGCCUUCGAUACUGGGACGCUUGAGUAUGGUAGAGGUUGGUGGAAUUGCGAGUGUAGAGGUGAAAUUCGUAGAUAUUCGCAAGAACACCGGCGGCGAAGGCGGCCAACUGGACCAUUACUGACGCUGAGGCGCGAAAGCGUGGGGAGCAAACAGG